CCCUUAGAUGUUCUGGGCUGCACGCGUGCUACACUGAUAUUGCCAAUAUGUCAUUCUUAUCCGAAAUGGAUUGGGUAAUCAAGUAAUGAAAUUUCAUGCUUGGAAUCGGUAAUUGCAAUUUUAUCGUGAACGAGGAAUUCCUAGUAAGCACUAGUCAUCAGCUAAUGUUGAUUAUGUCCCUGCCCUUUGUACACACCGCCCGUCGCUACUACUGAUUGGGUGUUCAAGUGAGAUGCUUAGACCCUCGUUGCAUGGUUCAUUAUUGUGCUCCGAAAGGAAAAAGUUUCAAGCUUGAGUGUCUAGAGGAAGUAAAAGUCGUAACA
rnacentral:rRNA from 1 species